rnacentral:rRNA from 1 species
AGUGAACGCUGGCGGUAGGCCUAACACAUGCAAGUCGAACGGAAGCACAGGAAGAGCGUGCUCUUAAGGGUGGCGAGGGGCGGGCGGGUGAGGAAUAGAUAGGAAUCUAAUAAUACGGGGGGGAUAACGGGGGAAAGCUGACGAUAAUAGCGAAUACGACGAACGGGAGGAAGCAGGGGAUAUACGGAGCUUGGGCGAUAGAAAGAGACGGCGUCGCAUUACCUAGUUGGUGGGGUAACGGCUCACCAAGGCGACGAUCCGUAGCCGACCUGAGAGGAUGAUCGGCCACACUGGAACUGAGCCACGGUCCAGACUCCUACGGGAGGCAGCAGUAGGGAAUCUUCCGCAAUGGGCGAAAGCCUGACGGAGCAACGCCGCGUGAGUGAUGAAGGUCUUCGGAUCGUAAAACUCUGUUAUUAGGGAAGAACAAAUGUGUAAGUAACUAUGCACGUCUUGACGGUACCUAAUCAGAAAGCCACGGCUAACUACGUG